AAGCGGAGGAGCAUGUGGUUUAAUUCGAUGAUACGCGAGGAACCUUACCUGGGCUCGAACGUAAGAUGACUGUAGGUGAAAGCUUACAUCUCUUCGGAGCAUUUUACGAGGUGCUGCAUGGUUGUCGUCAGCUCGUGCCGUGAGGUGUCGGGUUAAGUCCCAUAACGAGCGCAACCCUACCUUUAGUUGCCAUCAGGUAAUGCUGGGGACUCUAAAGGAACUGCCUACGCAAGUAGUGAGGAAGGCGGGGAUGACGUCAAAUCAGCACGGCCCUUACGUCCAGGGCUACACACGUGCUACAAUGGCCGAUACAGAGGGCAGCUGCCUGGUGACAGGAUGCAAAUCUCCAAAGUCGGUCUCAGUUCGGAUCGGAGUCUGCAACCCGACUCCGUGAAGUUGGAUUCGCUAGUAAUCGCGCAUCAGCCAUGGCGCGGUGAAUACGUUCCCGGGCCUU
rnacentral:rRNA from 1 species